rnacentral:rRNA from 1 species
UACAGAGGUGGCAAGCGUUGUUCGGAAUUACUGGGCGUAAAGGGCGCGUAGGCGGUCUUGUAAGUCUUGUGUGAAAUCCUUCGGCUCAACCGAAGAACGUCGGCCGAUACUGCCGUUCUUGAGGGAUGCAGAGGAGAUUGGAAUUCCCGGUGUAGCGGUGAAAUGUGUAGAGAUCGGGAGGAACACCGGUGGCGAAGGCGGGUCUCUGGGCAUCUCCUGACGCUGAGGCGCGAAAGCGUGGGGAGCAAACGGG